GAUUAAAACAGAAAUAUAUUUGGUCAUUUUAGCUCGGCUCUACAACCAAACUAAUUUUGUAGCUAAGCAUGGUCACACUUUGAUGUGACAAUUGGCAUUUAUCUAUCUGAUUAGUGUUCGACAUAAUAACAAGUGGCGAGAUCCUACAAUUGUGUUUAGGAGUAAGGCAAAAGAUGGAAUACGCCUCAGUCCCCAUACGCCAAAGUUGAUCCAGUCAGGUGGCUUCACCACGUUUACACAUUCUGAAAGAAAAAGGCAAGACAGUAAAUAUGCACACAACGAUCGUCGUCGGCUGUAAAAAGAAGUUUCUGUCGAGGAUAUAUCGCAAAUCUCACAGGCUUACUGUGGAUAUAUAGAUCAUUGAUGGGAGUGGUAUCAUUGCUGAGACUGAUUCACUGAUUACUAGCUAUUGCUCUGAUCGGAGCUAGACUUCACCGUUCCUUUUGGUAUGCCCCUUCAAAAGUUGUACCUGCUGGCCCGCUAUGUCGCCGUACCUCAUCCAACCUUGACAGAGGUACUCAACAAGGAGCGCCGCCGCACAUAGACGCCUUCUAACCUUUUUGCCAUGCUCCUCCUCUUAUUUCCUCCAGAAUUCCUCCUCGGAGGGGAGCUAUUCUCUUUAGUUGGCGGCGAUGGCUUUUAGAGCUCUUCGCCGAGCUUGACGAUUUUUCCCGGAUUGGUGAGGAGGAUUUGAGGAUUUUGACCGAGCAUCCUGGACCGGGGAGGUGGAGGCUGUGGUGCCGUUGGGAUGGGUGGGCUUGUGCCGCAGCUUGCGGCGGUCGGUUCAGGGGAGGGUUAGAGUUGCAUUGGUGAGAGAGUGAGACAACACAGAAAAA